rnacentral:rRNA from 1 species
CCCUUAGAUGUCCUGGGCCGCACGCGCGUUACACUGAUGCAUUCAACGAGCUUAUAACCUUGGCCGAGAGGCCUGGGCAAUCUUGUUAACGUGCAUCGUGAUAGGGAUAGAUUAUUGAAAUUAUUAAUCUUGAACGAGGAAUUCCUAGUAAACGCAGAUCAUCAAUCUGCAUUGAUUACGUCCCUGCCCUUUGUACACACCGCCCGUCGCACCUACCGAUUGAAUGGUCCGGUGAAGCCUCGGGAUUGUGGCCAGUUCACUUUAUUGGGAGUUGGCUGCGAGAACUUGUCUAAACCUUAUCAUUUAGAGGAAGGUGAAGUCGUAACA